UACGUAGGGUGCGAGCGUUAAUCGGAAUUACUGGGCGUAAAGCGUGCGUAGUCGGUUAUUUAAGUCGGAUGUGAAAUCCCCGGGCUCAACCUGGGAAUUGCAUUCGAUACUGGAUAGCUAGAGUUCGGCAGAGGGAAGUGGAAUUUCUGGUGUAGCGGUGAAAUGCGUAGAUAUCAGAAGGAACAUCAGUGGCGAAAGCGACUUCCUGGACCAGAACUGACGAUCAGGCACGAAAGCGUGGGGAGCAAACAGG
rnacentral:rRNA from 1 species